UGCAAGUCGAACGGUAACAGGGAGCAGCUUGCUGCUCUGCUGACGAGUGGCGGACGGGUGAGUAAUGUCUGGGAAACUGCCUGAUGGAGGGGGAUAACUACUGGAAACGGUAGCUAAUACCGCAUAACGUCGCAAGACCAAAGAGGGGGACCUUCGGGCCUCUUGCCAUCGGAUGUGCCCAGAUGGGAUUAGCUAGUAGGUGGGGUAACGGCUCACCUAGGCGACGAUCCCUAGCUGGUCUGAGAGGAUGAUCAGCCACACUGGGACUGAGACACGGACCAGACUCCUACGGGAGGCAGCAGUGGGGAAUAUUGGACAAUGGGCGAAAGCCUGAUCCAGCCAUGCCGCGUGUGUGAAGAAGGUCUUCGGGUUGUAAAGUACUUUCAGCGGGGAGGAAGGCGUUGAGGCUAAUAACCUCAGCGAUUGACGUUACCCGCAGAAGAAGCACCGGCUAACUCC
rnacentral:rRNA from 1 species